UGAAGCCCACUCUGGAAUUGGGAGUGAAUGAGGGACUAAAACCCACGUGAUAGACGUUUACCAUGUGUUCAUAAACUUCACCAUUUACCCCUUCUUCUCCACCGCGCCGGAGCUCACCACUGGCGGUGGUUGAGACUCCAACAUCAAAACCAGAUACGUCAUUUUACUCCAAAUUUCCAGCUCUAUUCGAAUCACCACCUAAUUUUAUCUAAAACAACCUAAAUCUCCCAAAUCGUGCAAAAUCAACCAUGGACACUAAUCACGAAAUCAAAAAUUAAAUGAUUGAAAGGAGGAAUCAAAGUCCCUAAUGUUAGGACUUUGAUUUCUCGAUCCAUAAGCUACAUAGGGGUAACAAGGAUGAAGCCAAAUGGUGAAGAAUCGUCACUUACCUACCAGAGAUGAAGACCUAAGAUCGGAGAAAAUGAAGAUGUUUGAACCAACUUCAGGGAUGGCUUGUGGAACAUGACCUCAAGGCAUGGUAAAAAGCUUGGCAAGAGCAUUCAAGGCAUGACUAAACUUGAUGGCAAAAGGUGACUUUCUUGUUCAUGAAGCAAAUGCUCAUGGAAUAUCAUGUAAUAAUACAAGAAUGAAGAUACAAUAUGCAUUAGGGUUUAGGAGAUGAAAAAAACAGGUUAGUUGACUUUGAUCAACUAGUUGACCAAAAAGUCAACAGUUGACCAAAAGUAAAUUUUUUGUAAAAAUGUAAUUUUUGUAUUUUCUUUUAUAUGGACAAUGCAAAUGAUAAUUGAAUGAAUGAAUUGAACAUUUAUUUGAAUAGAAAUAGUCUUUAUGAAA